rnacentral:pre_miRNA from 1 species
UGACAGAAGAGAGUGAGCACACAGAGACAGUUGUAUAAAGUUAUAUUUCUGCACUUGCGUGCUCACUUCUCUUUCUGUCACC